AGAGACAGUAAUGUAUGUAAUGCCAUAGAAUCUUUUGAUUGAUUCAACUAAUGGCUCCUCAAUUUCUUUACCGCCAUUGAAAUGCUGCCAUGUAUAUCAAUCCUUUUUAGCCUUUAUUAGGGUUUCUUAUCUCCAUCACUGUCUCUCUCAAUCAACACCUUCUCCUCGUGUUUAGGGUUUCAAAUUCGAUUUCAUCAUCUUUCAUCGAACAGCUUUGUGCCCAAAAAAAAAAAAUCCAAUCGCAGCGAUUUGACUUUAUUAAGUUGCUUUGUGCUUUUGAUACUUUGUGGGGUAUCAAUGGGUUUCGGUGGUUGUCAACACCCAUUUUGAAAUAGCUAAUACCUAUCAAGAAAUUGAGUAUCUACAUCGCAAAUUUUUAUCCGUGUCCGAUCAGAAUUUCAAAUUUUUUUUUUUCUGUUUACUUUCUUUGUUUCUUCAUAAUGGACGACGGGGAGCUUGAUUUCUCAAACCAAGAACUGUUUUCAAGCUCCAGCCUUGGUAAUCUCCCAAGUAGUUGCUCUAUGGACAGCAUUUUCGAUGAUAUUCUUAAUGACACACAUGCCUGCACUCAUACCCAUACUUGCAAUCCACCGGGCCCUGAUUUCUCUCAUACACACACUUGUUUUCAUGUUCACACCAAAAUUUUACCUGCCACGCCCGAGGAUAAGGUUGCUACCGAUGAUACUGCAGAGUCUGCAGAGAAGAAAUCAAAGAAACGCCCACUGGGAAAUCGUGAAGCGGUUCGCAAGUAUCGUGAGAAGAAGAAGGCUCGUACUGCAUCAUUAGAGGAUGAAGUUGUUAGAUUGAGGUCAUUGAAUCAGCAGUUGUUGAAGAGGUUGCAGGGUCAGGCUGCUUUGGAGGCCGAGAUUGCAAGGCUCAAGUGUUUGCUUGUGGACAUACGAGGAAGGAUUGAAGGGGAGAUUGGAUCUUUCCCUUAUCAGAAGCAGGCCAAUCAAAACCUGGCUAAUUCAAACUUGCCCGGUGCAUAUGUGAUAAAUCCGUGUAAUAUGCAAUGUAAUGAUCAGGUCUACUGCCUUCAUCCAGGGGUGGAAGGAAAAAGUGGUGAAGGUACAGCAUCAGACAGUCAAGGCUUUGAUAAUUGUGAAUUUGAGAAUAUGCAAUGCCUUGGGAACAUGAUUUCUGGGUUGAAGGAGCUCCCUGGUUGUGGAAUUGGGAAUAUAACAUCUACAGUCAAUUCUUCUGGCACCAAUAAGAAGAAAGGAGGGGCUCGUGCUGCAAUGGCUAGUUAAAGAGCUAAUCAGAUGCUUUGUUCUUGAGGAUGUUUAUCGUCUCCCAAUAAGUGGUUUUGUUAAACUUCAAUGUCAUCUUCUCAUCAGAAUUUAGGGAAGGUGGGGGAUCUCUUCCAUGUUACACUGCUAUAGCUGUGAGCAAUUUCAUAUUUGAUUAUUGGGUUCUGAACAGGUGAGUUACAAAUCGUACUUCCUGAGACCCAAACUUGUGAUGUGUGUUGAAUGCUGGCUCACAUAGUUUCCAUCUCCUGUUAUUUUAUUUUACUUCAAAUGCAAAUAACUGUAAAAAGUUGCUUCUGCCUUUAUUAUUUUGCUUUGCGAAGGAUGCCAAAUUUUCAUCUGGAAGCAUUGCUUUUGAACCGACGAUUGUUGCAAAAGUAGUCACUUGUGUGCCUCAACUCGCAGACAGUGACUGAUGCAACUGACUAAGAAGAUUAUCCCGGGGGGGCCUUCUCAUUAUCACUGGGGCGGAUAUUGAAGAUGGCAAGAAAAGGGUUUUCUUGUGCUCGUCUAAUAUGGAAUUGAUUUGCUUGAUGGCAAUGUGUUGGUUACAAUAUGGAGCAGUAGGUUUUUCGAUGAUCGUGAAUUUUUAAUGAUGAUCAUCUCUAGAAUACUAUACUUCCGAUAAUUCUUUCAAUACUUUUAUAAAAAUCAAGCAGUAGCUGUUCCGAUUUUUCGUGGUAGAUGACACAUUCCUCCAGAUUUUCUUGAAGUAGCUUUCUCCUUUGCCCACAAAUAACUACCAGGAGAAGUCAUCUGUUUUUCAAUAUGUUUUUGGGAAAGUGCGAUCAUAUAAAGUUCAAUCGUGUUAAAGAUUUUUGACUGGAGAGUUUUAGGUUUUCAAAAUGUGCAUUGGUGAGAAUUUAAUGAACUUCACCUUCAAAAUCCUUCAGAUUACACCCACUUAUUUUAUGUCCCAAGUGCUUUGCAAUAUGUUGAGAUUGAGUUGUUCAUUCAGCUGACAAGCCUGUCAUGAAGAAUGCACUGAACUUGCAACUUUCUUCUGUUUGAUGGAUGCAUUCACUUCCCUACUAAACCCAUAAUUUUCUUCUGUUUGUACAAUGAUGGAUCUGGUGACUUGUAAUGCUAUGUUUGGAAGUAC